rnacentral:rRNA from 1 species
AUGAUCUGUUUCAACUAUGGGGGGCCGGGUCACUAUGUGGGGGAUUGUGUGAAACCAAAGGCAUGUUUUAUCUGCCAACAAAAUCACAACGUCAACAACUGUGCUGCUUGGUCGAAAGUUCAGCCCACUGCUGCUUUCUUUGGCAGUGGGGCUCGAGGGCUUGGUUUCUACCAUGUGGAUGUACCUAUAGCCAAUGAAUCGAAGUGGUUAAAUUUUCAAAACUGUGCUGUGGUGAACAUUCUGAAAGGUGAUGUGGAUUGUCCCAAGUUGAUGGAACUCCUGACUGCAACUUUCUGCAAAACUAGGCAAUGGCCAUGGCAAAUCAGAGGGUUAUCCAGCAAAACCUUUUUGGUUAGAUUUCCCCCUUGGAAGAAAGUGGAAGAUCUCAUUGAGUUGCCAGGGUUCUCUCUACCUCAAGAUGUAAAUGUCACCUUGACUGAAUGGAAGGGUGGAUGUGAUCCUUUUCGGGAAUUAAUUGAAGCUUGGGUGCUAAUUGAGGGCAUUCCUCCCAAAUGAUGCACAUGGAAAGUAUUUGCUCAAAUUGCUUCCCUUUUUGGGGUGUUGACUGAUGUUGACUGGAAUGGUAUGUUCAGGACUUUCUUUGAAAAUGUCAGGAUUAAGAUUGCUUGCAGAGACCCAACUAAGAUACCAUUUGAGAGACAAAUUGAGAUGAAGAAGAAACUCUUCCUGCUAGGCUUUACUGUUGAGGGAUUUGAACAAGUGGGUGGAGUAGAUUCUGUCAUUGAUAUUGAGGAGGAUGAGGAUGGUGAUGAGGAAGCAGAGAAAGCUGAAGAGGAUCAAACAGGAAAUGGCAGGGGGACUUAG